CACGUAGGGCGCGAGCGUUGUCCGGAAUUAUUGGGCGUAAAGAGCUCGUAGGCGGCCUGUUGCGUCCGCUGUGAAAGCCCGGGGCUUAACCCCGGGUCGGCAGUGGAUACGGGCAGGCUAGAGGUAGGUAGGGGAGAAUGGAAUUCCCGGUGUAGCGGUGAAAUGCGCAGAUAUCGGGAGGAACACCGGUGGCGAAGGCGGCUCUCUGGAACGCAACUGACGCUGAGACGCGAAAGCGUGGGGAGCAAACAGG
rnacentral:rRNA from 1 species